UACAGAGGGUGCAAGCGUUGUUCGGAAUUAUUGGGCGUAAAGGGUGCGUAGGCGGUGCGGUAAGUCUGUUGUGAAAUCUCCGGGCUCAACUCGGAGUCUGCAACGGAAACUGCCGUGCUUGAGUGUGGGAGAGGUGAGUGGAAUUCCCGGUGUAGCGGUGAAAUGCGUAGAGAUCGGGAGGAACACCUGCGGCGAAAGCGGCUCACUGGACCAUAACUGACGCUGAUGCACGAAAGCUAGGGGAGCAAACAGG
rnacentral:rRNA from 1 species